rnacentral:tRNA from 1 species
GGGCCCUUAGCUCAGCUGGUUAGAGCAAUUGACUCAUAAUCAAUAGGUCCCCGGAUCGUUCCCGGGAGGGCCCACUA